rnacentral:rRNA from 1 species
GAGUUUGAUCGUGGCUCAGAUUGAACGCUGGCGGCAUGCCUAACACAUGCAAGUCGAACGGUAACGCGGGGGCAACCCUGGCGACGAGUGGCGGACGGGUGAGUAAUACGUAGGAAUCUGCCCAUUAGUGGGGGACAACCCGGCGAAAGCCGGGCUAAUACCGCAUACGCUCUACGGAGAAAACGGGGGAUCGUAAGACCUCGUGCUAAAUGGAUGAGCCUACGUCGGAUUAGCUAGUUGGUAGGUAACGGCCUACCAAGGCGACGAUCCGUAGCUGGUCUGAGAGGACGAUCAGCCACACUGGGACUGAGACACGGCCCAGACUCCUACGGAGGCAGCAGUGGGGAAUAUUAGGACGAAAUGGGGGCAACCCUGAUCCAGCAAUGCCGCGUGUGUGAAGAAGGCCUGCGGGUU